rnacentral:lncRNA from 1 species
UUCUCUCCGAUCAAACUUUUAAAUUUGACCUUCCAAGUAAACGAAACACAGAACCUGAGAUAUGAAUUGUGAAAAUUUCAGGAUGGUUACUUCAAGAUCAGGAGAGGAACGAACGAAUGUGGCAUUGAACACGGUGUUGUAGCCGGUUUACCUUCAGACAGGAACGUAUUUAAAGAUGUAACCACUUCAGAUGAUCUUCUGGUUUCCUCAUUUUAAACAAGAAGAUGUGUCUCUACUUCUUCUGUGAUACUAUAUACAACUGUUAAUAAAUUAGUUACCGAACUAAUGCAAUGAAUAAAUAAACAAUCAACAUGUUACAAAAAUACUUAUGACAUCAGAGAUGCAAAUUCCCCAAAUAAAAAGAAUAAAGGAAGGAAGUGUGAUUAGCAAUAGCAUGCAAGAGGACUGUUACAGUAUUUAUCGCCUAAAGUAAUCCCUUAAUUACUUUAAAUCAUUCGAAAUAAUGAUUAAUAAAUCAAGUAAGUAGAACAAAUCGAACGGUCAGGAUCUUCUAGCGAUCUGUCAUUCUCUAAAAGUCAAAAGAUAAGCCUCUUUAAUCUCUCUCUUUCUUAUUCCGUAUUAGAAAAGAAAACUUCCAUUAGAGAGAGAGAUACCUUGUCCAAACUCUCUGGCAAAUCAUUUGUUUGGUUUUUGGAGUUCGUUUAAGGGAUUGAGAAAAUAUCAACAGAAGAGAAAGAUUCAUGGCUGAUAAAUGUAUCAAACUUCACUUAGCCUCUGUUUUCUUCUUUUUAGGGCUUCUAAUUUCAUCCUUCAACUUGCAGGUACUUGAACCUUCAUAAUCUCUGUCUUCUUUUUACUUUUUCUGGGUUUGAUCAUUUUUGCUUAUUUGUUGGACUCUUUAAGCUACAAGUUUUAAACUUUUGAAGCUGGUUUGUCCCUUGAUCUCAGGGUAUUGCAGCAGAAAAUCUUUCCAAGCAGAAACUGACCUCAUGGAUUCUUCAGGUUUUUGAUCUUAAUCCACCCAAUUUUCUGUAUUGUUUUCGUCUCUUUUAGAUUGCCUUAUCGUUGAUGAUCGACUUUUGUAGAAUGAGAUCGUCAAGGAAGUCAAUGAGAAUCCAAACGCUGGAUGGAAAGCUGCUUUCAAUGAUCGGUUUGCAAACGCCACUGUGAGUUUCUUAUUAUUACCAAUUAAGAGCUACAGAGAUCUUAUCAAUGCUUAUCAAUGUUUCUGAAAAGUUUGUGUUUUUGUGUAUUAGGUUGCAGAGUUUAAGCGCCUCCUUGGUGUUAAACCAACACCAAAGACGGAAUUUUUGGGUGUACCUAUUGUGAGUCAUGAUAUAUCUUUGAAGCUUCCUAAAGAAUUUGAUGCUAGAACCGCUUGGUCACAGUGCACCAGUGUUGGAAGGAUCUUAGGUCUGUUUUCAUUUUUUUAGAUUUCCACUAUCUCUGUCUUUUAUCCAAAUUAUUUACUGACUCUUUUUAUGUUUUGUGUCAAAUUCUCUCCUCAAUUGUCUCACUAAAGAUCAGGUAAACACAUCAUUUGCUUGAGUUUUAUAUUGAACAGUGUGUUACUCAAGUGAUGAUAACAUUAUGGUUUUGGUUUGUUUAGGGUCAUUGUGGUUCUUGCUGGGCCUUUGGUGCUGUUGAAUCACUGUCUGACAGAUUCUGCAUCAAAUAUAACAUGGUAACACAGAUUUCUUAAUGAAGCCAAGAUUGAUGAUGUGUAGCGUCUUUCUUAUGGAAUGAUUAAUAUUAGUUUCUUUUGUUCCCAUGCAGAAUAUUUCUUUAUCUGUCAAUGAUCUCUUAGCAUGUUGUGGAUUCCUUUGCGGACAAGGUUGUAACGGUGGAUACCCAAUUGCUGCGUGGCGGUACUUUAAGCACCACGGUGUAGUAACUGAAGAGGUAAAUUCUCUUUUUACUGCAAUGAACAUAUAUUAAUGGCAAAGUAGUUAAAACGUAUUGAACUUUUGCAAUUUUCUUGGUUCUUCAGUGUGAUCCAUACUUUGACAAUACUGGCUGCUCUCACCCGGGAUGUGAACCCGCUUACCCUACACCAAAAUGUGCGAGGAAAUGUGUUAGCGGAAACCAGCUUUGGCGUGAAUCAAAACAUUAUGGUGUUAGCGCGUACAAGGUCAGAUCUCACCCUGAUGACAUUAUGGCAGAAGUUUACAAAAAUGGACCUGUUGAGGUUGCCUUUACUGUUUACGAGGUAAAUACUAGGUUUUAGAGUGAUCAAAGAUAUGAUUAUAUCAUGGAACUCCACAUUUUCAUGUAUCUUUUUGUUCUACAGGACUUUGCACAUUACAAGUCAGGAGUGUACAAGCACAUAACAGGUACUAACAUUGGAGGUCAUGCUGUUAAACUUAUUGGCUGGGGAACUUCUGAUGACGGUGAAGAUUAUUGGGUAUGAAUCCACUUUUGACGCUCUGGAUUUUGAGUUUAUUAGAUCUAGCCUAAAAAUUCACAACAUUUUCUGUUCUUUGAAUUGUUACAGUUGCUUGCAAAUCAAUGGAACCGAAGCUGGGGAGAUGUAAGUUCUUCUUCCUCCAAUCAAACUUUUAACUAUAACCUUCCAAGUGGCAACAUUAGAAUUCCAGAGAAACACACAGAACCUGAGAUAUAUAAUCUGAAAAUUUCAGGAUGGUUACUUCAAGAUCAGGAGAGGAACAAACGAAUGUGGCAUUGAACAUGGUGUUGUAGCUGGUUUACCUUCAGACAGGAACGUAUUUAAAGGUAUUACUACUUCAGAUGAUCUUCUUGUUUCCUCAUUUUAAACAGGAAGAUGUGUCUCUACUUCUUCUGUAAUACAUAAUUUGCCAGUGUGUUGUUGUUACCAAUGAAAUAAUUAAACGACUUUCGACCCAAAAAGAAGUCUAUUGUACAUAGCAUUUAGCUUUUUUUUUAUAUCCAAUAU